CCGAGUGAUUCGGGCAACCGAAGCUCCCACACCUGUCUACCGGCCUGUUUCUUCGGCGGGGCGCGGCGACGCCGCCGGCACUGCGGGCGAGUCCCCGCCGAAGGUCACACGACGCUGUACCGUGAGUCUGAAGAGCACAGAAAAUGAACA
rnacentral:misc_RNA from 1 species